UACGUAGGGCGCGAGCGUUGUCCGGAUUUAUUGGGCGUAAAGAGCUCGUAGGCGGUCUGUUGCGUCCGCUGUGAAAACUCGGGGCUUAACCCCGAGCCUGCAGUGGAUACGGGCAGACUAGAGGUAGGUAGGGGAGAAUGGAAUUCCCGGUGUAGCGGUGAAAUGCGCAGAUAUCGGGAGGAACACCGGUGGCGAAGGCGGCAUUCUGGACCAUUACUGACGCUGAGGAGCGAAAGCGUGGGGAGCGAACGGG
rnacentral:rRNA from 1 species